CCUACGGGAGGCAGCAGUGGGGAAUAUUGGACAAUGGGCGAAAGCCUGAUCCAGCCAUGCCGCGUGUGUGAAGAAGGCCUUCGGGUUGUAAAGCACUUUCAGUGGGGAAGAAAGCCUUGGGGCUAAUACCCUCGAGGAAGGACAUCACCCACAGAAGAAGCACCGGCUAACUCCGUGCCAGCAGCCGCGGUAAUACGGAGGGUGCGAGCGUUAAUCGGAAUUACUGGGCGUAAAGCGCGCGUAGGCGGUCUGAUAAGCCGGUUGUGAAAGCCCCGGGCUCAACCUGGGAACGGCAUCCGGAACUGUCAGGCUAGAGUGCAGGAGAGGAAGGUAGAAUUCCCGGUGUAGCGGUGAAAUGCGUAGAGAUCGGGAGGAAUACCAGUGGCGAAGGCGGCCUUCUGGAUUGACACUGACGCUGAGGUGCGAAAGCGUGGGUAGCAAACAGGAUUAGAUACCCCGGUAGUC
rnacentral:rRNA from 1 species